GACGAACGCUGGCGGCGUGCCUAAUACAUGCAAGUCGAACGGUUCUUUCUUUUGGAAGCUUGCUUCCGAUCGAGAGAAUAGUGGCGAACGGGUGAGUAACACGUGGGUAACCUGCCCAUAAGAGGGGGAUAACAUCCGGAAACGGGUGCUAAUACCGCAUAGUUUUUUUGAUCGCAUGAUCGAGAAAGGAAAGACGGCCUUUGUGCUGUCGCUUAUGGAUGGACCCGCGGCGUAUUAGUUAGUUGGUGAGGUAAUGGCUCACCAAGACGAUGAUACGUAGCCGACCUGAGAGGGUGAUCGGCCACAUUGGGACUGAGACACGGCCCAAACUCCUACGGGAGGCAGCAGUAGGGAAUCUUCCGCAAUGGACGAAAGUCUGACGGAGCAACGCCGCGUGAGUGAAGAAGGUUUUCGGAUCGUAAAACUCUGUUGUCAGAGAAGAACAAGUCGGAGAGUAACUGCUCCGGCCUUGACGGUAUCUGACCAGAAAGCCACGGCUAACUACGUGCCAGCAGCCGCGGUAAUACGUAGGUGGCAAGCGUUGUCCGGAUUUAUUGGGCGUAAAGCGAGCGCAGGCGGUUCCUUAAGUCUGAUGUGAAAGCCCACGGCUCAACCGUGGAAGGUCAUUGGAAACUGGGGAACUUGAGUGCAGAAGAGGAGAGUGGAAUUCCAUGUGUAGCGGUGAAAUGCGUAGAUAUAUGGAGGAACACCAGUGGCGAANGCGACUCUCUGGUCUGUAACUGACGCUGAGGCUCGAAAGCGUGGGGAGCAAACAGGAUUAGAUACCCUGGUAGUCCACGCCGUAAACGAUGAGUGCUAAGUGUUGGAGGGUUUCCACCCUUCAGUGCUGCAGCUAACGCAUUAAGCACU
rnacentral:rRNA from 1 species